CCUACGGGUGGCAGCAGUGAGGAAUAUUGGUCAAUGGACGAGAGUCUGAACCAGCGAAGUAGCGUGAAGGAUGACUGCCCUAUGGGUUGUAAACUUCUUUUAUAUGGGAAUAAAAUGUUCCACGUGUGGGAUUUUGUAUGUACCAUAUGAAUAAGGAUCGGCUAACUCCGUGCCAGCAGCCGCGGUAAUACGGAGUAUCCGAGCGUUAUCCGGAUUUAUUGGGUUUAAAGGGAGCGUAGGUGGAUUGUUAAGUCAGUUGUGAAAGUUUGCGGCUCAACCGUAAAAUUGCAGUUGAAACUGGCAGUCUUGAGUACAGUAGAGGUGGGCGGAAUUCGUGGUGUAGCGGUGAAAUGCUUAGAUAUCACGAAGAACUCCGAUUGCGAAGGCAGUUCACUGGACUGCAACUGACACUGAGGCUCGAAAGUGUGGGUAUCAAACAGGAUUAGAUACCCUUGUAGUC
rnacentral:rRNA from 1 species